UUACUUCAAAAUCUGGGCCUUCCUGGACGUCAAGUUUGUGGAGAGAAUCCUGCAGAGUCAGGAGGAGGGCAAGUGCAUGCUUCGCACCCUCAAGGUGAGAAUUUAUACAAACAGAUAUGAGACAAAUGAAGAGGACAGAAUGUUGCGGGACAUUUACCGAAAGUACAGAGACCUGAUCGAUACAGAGUUUAACUAUUUUGUCAUCGCCUACCCCAUGAUGUGAGGAGCACACCCAGGAGAGAGCAGCCUCGCUGGCCUCGGGGCUCCUGAGCCCCAUCCUCCACAGAGCUGCCCCUGAGCCUUCCUCAGGGCCCGGCCCUCCCUUCAGCCAGAGCGCAAUCCUGAGUGUGUGGGGCCAGGCGCUCUCCCAGCCUCCCAAGUCCCUUUAAAUGCUGUCUUUACAACAGCC